CCACCUGCAACAAAAUCCACCACCUCCUCCUCCAAUCCACCAAUUUGCCACCAUAACCACCACCACCACCACAUCCAUAUCAAAUAUAAAUUAACAUUACCACGACAACGACCACAACCCAUACACCACACCACACCACACCACAAAUUCAUGCAUUCACACAACCACCUCGUAUAUUGGCACCACCACCACCCCCUACAACCCGACAUCACAACACCAUCUUACCUAGAUCUAACAAUAGUAUCACCGUAGAUCCACAGGUUUAUCCUCUUGUAGCAACAGCGAUGACAUCGAUGCAGCGAGAAGCUUCACCGUGUCACUGCUAUAAGUAAUGCGCUACUCGCAGUAACAACAAUGCUGCCAGCGACGAAAAGCUUGGUCGCCACAUCGCUGCCAAGUGUUGCAGCACUUGAUUGAUUUGCCCCACUCUUUGAUUGAUUUGUCGUAGGUUAAAAGGUUGAGGGAGGAUUUAUUGGACAUUUUGGGUGAUGAUGAGUCAGAGCCCUACACAGCAAGUCAGGAUCUUAACUCGUUCAUGAAGAGUUUUGAGGAGGAAAUUUAUGGGUCAGCCUUCACCAAGGUGGAUUGAAGUCGGGUUGUGAAGAGUCUCAGCCGGAUCUGGUGUAUUUGUUGGAGGCUUCGAGUGACGAGCUUGGGCUUCCUCCAUCGAAGGCGUCUUUA
rnacentral:lncRNA from 1 species